rnacentral:lncRNA from 1 species
UCAUUUUCUCAGUGGAGAACCAAAGUAAUUGAUGCAUUAAUUCUUUACAAUCAGAACAUUAAUUUCAAAUUUCUUUCAAAGUACAAUAACCAAAGAAUAGAAAAUUUUGUUUUACACAAACUACAAAUAGAGUACUAAAACAUGGGAAUUAGUAAGUAAUUUCAUGUUCUUCAGCAUAUUCUUGAGUUGCUGUUCUAAAGCUCCUUGAUGACGAUGAAGGCUCAACUCCUUGAGGUAUAUCAGAGAGAGAGGCCAAAAAUUGGCGAAUGCUUAAAGAACGAGCAGGUUUGAAGCUUAAUGAUCUCAUCUUGUUCCUGGAGAAAAUGUCAGAUGACUUAGAAAGGAUUAGAUAAACCAGUGCUUGAACAAUGACGAACAUGAGCACCUUCAUCAAGGAAUCUGCCAAGGAUAUCUCUACUUCCAUAACGGGAUUCUGAUCAGAGAUUAGUUACAAAAGUAUUUCGUAAAGAAUUGAAAGAUGGAAUUCCUGAAGAAACAAUGCUUAGGGAAGGGAGUAUAUAUAGGGGGGGUGUGAAGAUUGGAAGAGUUGGCACAUGGAAAACUGCCUGUUUGACUUGUAGCCCAAGCCUGGAAGUUAAUACAUUGACCACACGCAAUCGGAUUGUGAAAUUGUCUUAGGUUUUUGUUAGAGGAAAAAGAAGGUUAGCCCGAUCAGCCUCAUGAGCCCGACAAACCUCCUAAUCCUGGAUAAUACUAGUUGCACGACAGGAAUUAUGUAAUUCUUCUAUUUAAUUACUUGCUGUUUCUAUCAUGUAGGUUCUGUUAUAAAAAAAAAAAAAAAUAGAAAAAUCUAGAAAACUUAUCAAUUGAUCAGAUUGAUCAGCUAUAAGAAUCCUGGUUGAUGUUUGACCAUGAUUGGGCAAUGAAUGGAUGAAAUGGUCCUGGUUGAUGUUUGAUACGUAAUAUCUACCAAACAUUUGUUAUUGUAGGUAAGAGUAGUUUAUAUCAGCUUUUAUGUUAAUACCUGACAAAAACAUGGUUUUAAAGUGGCUUGAGGUGCUUGGACGGCUUUUUAAGGAUAAGACGCAUCAGAAGAAACAGAG